GAUGGAGUCAUGGGUGGUUUGUCCAGGGCUGCAGGGGGGCGUGGCUCCCCACUGCUGUGUGCACCCCCAGGGGAGGCAUGGGGAGCACUGCCUUGUUUCUUUUUGGUGUUAAUGACAUCAUCUUUUGCAGAAGAAGCACAUGUGGCUUUUUUUGUUGGGUGGGGUUUUUCUUGAGAUCAAAAUACCUAACCAUGGUUUAUCCACAGGUAGACAUCAAACCAUUUCAGUGUCUCUUGAGGUGAUAUAGCAGACUCAAGAAUUUUAUUCCUAACAGAUUGGAUGUUAAUGUGAUUUAGUCAAUAGGAGUAUGUGAUCAUUAAUAUUUCUUCCUUCUUGAAGAGCAAAAAGUGACUAAAGUGCAUUUCACAGGCCAAAUUUUGGCCACACGUACCACAUGAACUUAGAUGGACUACUGCAUGCUGGGCUUGUGCUGUUCACAAGCUUAGCUGAAUGCUAAAUAGAAAUCUACUUGAGGGGCUUGUUGGGUUGUUUUCUGUAGAUUAGUUGCAGGUCACAAGCAGCUGGCAAGUAGCUAAAAAGUGCUUCAUUAGAGUGGGUUGUCACUAAGUUACCCUUGUUAGAAUACACCAUGAAUCAGUUUAUUUUGGUCAGUCCUACACAUGAUUAUGGUGCAAGGACAGUAAUAAAUGUAUUUAAGCUUUUGAAAAGUGCUUUCCUUACAAAACCUAUUCAUAGUGUAGAAUUUAGGAUUAAUUCUGGAGUAGUACGUUAACCUUUGAAACUGAAUUUUUCCUGUGUUUCUUAGUAGCUUGAAAAAAAUCAAAGUUAAUUGACACUUGAUAUUUAUUAUUGCAAUUUUGAUGCAAUUUUUAUCCAACCUCUAGGUCAUACACAUCUACUGAAGAAAACUAAGCCAGUGGCCACUGUGGAUAAUGUACAAGUGACAGACCUAGUGGCAAAACUGAUGUGGAUAUAGGAACAGCUGCUGAAAGUGCCGUUACUACGCAAGUUCUUCAAGCUCCUUUUCUUCAGGAAGCAACGGAUCACAGUACAGAUUUCCUCUCACUCCUGCAGAGUCUCCCGAGUUACUCCCUGAAGGGAUUUUGCUCUUCAGUCGUUUUCACCAAAAAAAACAGACAAAGCCAGUUGCAGGCCAUGGUCCAAGGAGGGAAGGCUGCAUCAAGGAAGUCACCCAAUGGCUUCAACAGUGGUGUCACCAGGAGGGCUUCAGUUUUCUCAACCACAGCGCACACUUCUGGGAUAAAGGAUUUCUCGGAAGGGACAGCAUUCACCUCGCAUGAAGAGGUUUCCAAGAAGAUGCCCGACGUCCCCCAGUACUGGACUCACCAACCUGGCCGUCUCUGCUGUCGCCUUUCUCUGGCUUCUCGGGUAAGUCUGUCUUGGCUUCUCAGGUAAGUCUCAUGCCCCCGCUGCUAUCUGUUUGUGUUAUCAUCCAGAUCCUGCUUUCUCACAUCUGGGUGUCUCUGUCCCAUUCUUUGCUCACUGCCUCCCUCCUCCCUCCCUGGGCUCAUUGACAAUGUUUCUUGUCACUCCCUCGGAGCUCUGUGAUGGAUCAGGCUUGUUGUCCCAUCACACUCUGUACCUCUCCAGGUCCAGCUAUUGAUCUAUCUGCAUUCAAUUAAGGAAGCUUCUUUCUCCUUACUAAUCUGGCUAUCAGCAAUGCAGGCAGUGAAGCAAAGGAGAGAUCGUCUUAGUUCACUUGGGAAGACACCAGAUAACCCAUACAACCUAAGAACUGCAAUUGGAGGAAAAGUCCAGUUCAGCCCUCUGUGGACUUUGGAACAUAUUCGGUGCAGUUGAAACCUUCAGGGAGUUGUACUGUAAAACUCUAGCAAAUCUCUACUGAGCAUAUAGAACCGAACUCUUCAAAGACUUUUUCGUAGUCAAAUCCAGGUAGGUAUUUAUUGAGAUAAUGGAAGAUGCAUCAUUUCUAAGCAUGCCAAAUUUCAAGUCCCUGCUCCAGCAGAGCUUCUUAAAUAAGAAAGCCAUGUAGAUGAAAUGAGACAUGUGUGCAUGACACUUUAAAGCAGGUUAAGUGCUUUUGCACUGCUUUAAUGGUGUCGGUGUUUGCACGCCUCAGCGGCGUAUUGCGCAUUGAUUCCAGCCGCUGCAGGAAAUUCGGCAGCACAAUGCACCUUAAAUGACUCGAGGAUUUUUAGUUAAGGAGUUUUACUUUGCUGCCCCUACAGCUGUGGAGUGAAGCACCAAGCUCCAUGCAGCUCUGUGGCUCUGCAGGAAACCCUGCAGGCAGCCUGGCAUGCAGGCAGCCUGCAGCCUGGCAGCAGCCCAGGAAAGCAGGCUCUGCCCAAGAAAAGCAGGGAGCCUGAUCUUUUUUUUUCCCUGCUGGAGCCUGCCUGCCUGUCUGAGCUGCACAGGGGCCUGGUGCUUCCCUUUGUGGUUGCAGUCCCCCCUGGGACCACCUGAACCAGGUGCCUGCAGGUGGGUGCUGCCUGGUGAGGGGGCUGCCACUGCCAUGGAGGGAAGCACCAGGCCCUGCAGCCCAGGGACUGCUCUGCCUGCCAGCAGCUUGCCCUCCCCUCCCUGCCAGAGAGGCAGGGAAGCCACUGGGGUGUGUGCACGACACGGUUUAAUUAGCCCUAAACUGAAGCAGUGUUUUUUAAAACCCACUACUUCAAUUUAGGGCCCCUGUUUUGUCUAUACCAGCCCAAAGUUUCCAUUUAAAAAAAAAAAAAAAAGAGCAAAGAAAAUAUUUUUCCAUUGCCUGUUUGUUGGGAAUUAUUUUGAUUUAUGCUGGCCAUUAAAAAAAAAAAAAAAUCAGUCUGAGGCAGACAAAUGGCAUGGAAAAUUUCCAAUUGAAUGUUUGAUAAACAUAGAGGGAACUGAAAAUUAGCAUCUUAUGGAAAGUUUUGGAUAACCAUAAUAGGAUCUUGUAUUACUAGCCUUGCCUAUAAUGUCAGCAGUAUUGGGAAGCAAUUCCUGACUUUUAUGCCUUUUGGAUGAUGACUAGUUUAAUUAUACCUUUUUAAUAAAUCACUCUCAGGUAACUGACACAAAUGACCAGGACAAUGACAUUUAUUGAGCAUAUCUGAGCUGCAGAUAGUGAAACAUGGUUGACGGUUACAUAGGUAAUAGAAGAGAAAAUGUGCAUAUGCAUGGAUUGUGUUUAAACUGCAUUUGAGAGAGUACUUUUUGGACUCAGCACUCCAGCAUAUUUUAUUUGCUCUGACCUUUGCUGAGGUUUCAGAUGAUUUGACUAACCACCUUCUGCUAACAGUGUCAUUAGGCAUUUUGGAGAGGUUUCCAUUUGAAUAACAAGAUGUGAAAGGUAUGUGGAAUGUCUUAAAUUCUGCAAACACUUUCAUGGAAUAUUAACACCAUGACCUUUUUCAUUCACAGGUGAUAACUAAAGAAAUUUCACUAUAGAUUCUACAGUACAACUUCAGUUUGAUUUGAUUCUUUUUUUUGUUCUAAAAAAAGAACCUAAAAACAUAGCUCAGUCUUUAAGGUUAAGGUAGUCCUCUCCAUGGUUUUAUAAAUUGUUGGAUUUGGGAGUGGAGGGGGAGGUUACUGGAAUGUGAAUACUAGCUCUGCACAACUUUAGGAGAGAACCAGAAGUAGAAAUAUUUGGCUUUCUAUACACAACCCCUUCCAUUUCCAGUCUUAGUGUGAACCAAAUAACCCAUGUGAAACACCAGAGAGCAUAGUUAUUCUCCUUUUACUUUCCACAACUUCCCUUCAAAUAAAAAUGAAAAGAAUAAUUUAUUGUAAUGAUAAAAUGUAAGAUUCUGCCCUCAGGUACAAGCAUGAAACCCACAAGUCAAUGAGCUCUUGUGACAGUGAGGGCAGCUUUUUGGCUCCAGGGUAUAUCAUCACAGUAGGCAAGGCAGUGACUUCCACUUACCCAUAUUGAGGAUUCUGAGACUCAGGUUUUUGUUUGAUCUACUGUAAAGGAAGGAUCUAGUUAGGAAAUGUGGGUCCAGCUUUGGAUUUCGGAGAAGUAUCAGAGUUCUGGUUCAGGAGUCUCUAUCUCUCUCUCUCUCGUACCCUGAAUAUCCUUCAGUUUGGAAUCAUCAUCACUCAUAAGUUGAAUAUUAACUUUGGUUGCAAUACCAUCCAGAAGCCUCUGCUGGGCCUUAGCUCCUACAACUUCCACGGUAAGCCAUUGGGGCUGACUAAGGUACAUUGACAUGCGAAACUCCACCUAGGGCAGUAGUUGCCAACCAGCAGAUCACGAGUGACUGGUCGAUCAUGAAGCCUCUGACAGUUAAUCUUCGUCUCAGUCCCCUAUCUCGGGGGUUUUUCUAGCUAAAGUUGGGCGUACAACAGGGAUGGGCAAAAUGGCCGAUCCGACUAGCAGCUGGACUCCAUUUCCCAGCAGCCCCUGCCUUCAUGGCUUGGGCUGGUCUCCAUGGAGACCCCAACCACACCUGCACAGGAAAGCUCAGGCUGGGGUUGCUGUAGAGACUAGCCUGAGCUGCUCUGGCUGUGCAGGGGGCUGCCCUGGAGCUGCUGGGAACUUGGGAUGGGGGGAGCUUGCUCCGGAGCCAGGGCAGAGCUGCGAGCUGUAGCUUGCAUUCUCCAGGCAGGGUGUUCAGGCAGGAGAUUGCAGCUCUGCUCCAGCUCCUUGCAGUGGUGACAGCCUGGUCUGGAGCAAGCAGAUAGUGUGAUACUUGUGACUGCACAUCAAGGCUCGGUAAAUAGGGACAACAUAUAACUAUGUAUAUUAAGCACUUGAUCUCAGUUUUAUAUAGCAAAUAUAUAAACUGUUAUUUCUAUAUUUUUAUUUGAGGUAGAUCCUGUGUUGAACUUUAAUUUAAAAAGUGAUUUUUGUGCUUAAAAAGGUUGGAGACCACUGACCUAGGGGAUGGUCAUCCCCUGCCCCCCACCCUGUUGUCAGUGUUACACAAGGGCAGAAUGGGUUCCCAAGUGUCCAGGCAGCAGUGCAGUUGGAAAUGAAAAGCCUGGGGAACCAAAGCAGCAUGGGCAUUUAUAGACGUGCUCUGGGACGCAGCGGGAGGGGUGCUUUAAUUAGCACAACUCCAAGAGCCACGCUAGCACCCAGAGCAUCAAGUGUAUCGGCAUCCCCACACUGAAACAUGGCAGUGAAGUGCUUUGAACUAAAGCUCAUCAAACGAGCUUUAAAAUGCCCUGCCACCACUUUUCAGUGUGGGGAUGCUGAUACACAUGAUGCUGGAGUCUGCUGGAGCAUGGUACUUACUAUGCUCCAGCAGACUCGAUUAAUUGAGUCUGCUCCAAUGCACUGUUAUUACAACACAUCGGAACAGCCUCCCUGUACAUGUAUAAGAAUCCCACGUGCCCAAGAAGUGAGCCUGGGGUCCAGUGAACAGGAGCAAAAGCAGGGAGAGAUGCUCAGUGGGAGGAGAGGUGGUGUGACAGAAGGUGGAAUCUGUUUCCAGUCCUGUCAAGCCCUGGCAAUAUGAAUCAGGAUGGUUUACACGCUUCUUAGUUUUAAAUAUUUACAAAAGUGGUCUUUACAACAGCAAGCUAUGCUUAACUAUAAGCAGAGCAGCUUCCCUGUUUUAAUGAGGUAGGGAGACUAUAAGGAAGGGUUGUGAGGAUUACUGGGUAUCUGGAUUAAAGUAUUUCUCUGGAUUUGAGAUGUUUAAGAUGACUUUAAAUUUCACUCUGACAUUCAGGCUUUGAAUAAAGGAGGAAAGUUCUAUAUUGCUGUAUUCUGUUUUAAGCUUUUUCAGACAGCCUGGAGAGGAAUGUCAACUCAGAAAGCAAACACAACAGCCCUGGGAGCAGGGCAAAAACUCAGUUUUCUCACAGAAUAAAUAGUAAAGGGCUCACGGCUUUUCCAUCUCCUUGGGGUAUAGGGUUAUAUUUCCUGCUAGCAUAAAUUGGUAUAAUGUCAGCAGGUCCUAAUUCCAAGUUUGCUUUUCUUUCUUCUCUAUAGCAAUUUAGCAGCAAUAGCAGCUCAGCAGGCUAACAGUCUCACAGGGCAAACUGCAAGAAUUUUAACUGGCCUGUUCAAUCCUCCACUCUCAGGAGCAGGUCCCCCAUGGGCUGUGCAACAAACAAGUGGGAAAAUACUUUUUUUUGAACAAAGAGUUUAAAAUAUACUAGGUCCCUGCCUCGGUUCACAAAAGAUGCCCCGUCCAUGCUCAGGACAUGUGUAUGGUCUUAUAAAACUGCUGGUUAACAAUAGAUGAGACCAAACUGCAGGAUUUUGAGGCUUUGAUCCUGUUUGUUCUUGUGCAGAACUUCAGGUUGCGCUAUGGUGCAGACAAAGCUUGAAUGUGUGCUUAGUAGGACUGAGUGAAACAUAAGAUAAACUGCAAUACAUGCAGAACCCGUGCAUUCCAGUUAAUAUUGUACCAACCCUGAAGCCCCAGAAACUGGCACAAGAAACAAAGGGGAGUUCCCACUUCUCUAUCGAAAAUCAUAGGGGUAGGGUCACAAGCCAACCAACCAAAGGGAGAGAACAGCUAAAAGAUAAUGACCAUCAACACUGUGGUAAUAUAUACUUAGCACCUUAAUUCCCAACCCCCCCCCCCCCCCCCAGCUCCUCUGGAGGUGUCCUCAAACAAGCCUUUAGAACCUAGAGUGCUCAAACAGCUGUGUGCCGCUGCUCCCAAGUCUGAGCCCACAGUCCUGGCUGACUGAGCCGGUGAGAUCUACAUCUCCACUGUGCACCCCUCUGUGUGGGGAUGACCAGGCUCCACAUGCAUGCUACUUUCCCUUCUCCUUACUCCAGCCUCAAGCUGUGUCUUCCAUUUCCCCUUGCCCCCAGCCCCUGGAGUUCCUGGGAGCUGAAGUCCAAAUUGGGAGUCCGUGGAGUUGUGCUGACUGCUCCCUGAUUCCACCUGCUGUUACAUGUUACAUUUACAUUAGAAUACCUCCACCAUUAGCUGUCAAGACCUUUAUGGCACUUUCCAUAUGCUCGGGGGGGUGGGGAGGACAGUACUUUAAUUAGUAAUUAAUUGCUCCAAGAGCCACUCUAAUUAAAGUGCCUAAGCAUCCCUGCACUUCAAAUGUGGGGCUGAGGGGCUUGAACUGAAGCUCGUUCAACAAGCUUCAGUUCAAAUGUCUCCACUGCUGUUUUGAAGCAUGGGGAUGCUGACACAUGAGAAAUGGGAGGUUGCUUGAGUGUGGUAAUUACCAUGCUCCAGCAGACUGUAAUAGUGUAUCAGAGCAGCCUCCACACUUUUGUACAGGUACACUUUAGUUUGUAUCCACCAGACCAGGGACAGCGGAGAGCACUGAACUUUACUAAUGGUGCUUUGCUAUGCGUAAUGCAGUGGGAAAGCAAGCUGAGUUCUCCCAGUCUGUCUGCUGGGAGGGGGCUUGGGGCCCACAAAACCCUGAAGCAGGACAAAGGAGCCUUCAACAAAAUCAAAUGUAAAAUGGGCCCUGCAAACUAAUCAUCGUGCUCCUGUGGCAAAGGAAAUCAGACAGUGGCAGUGCAGCAUAUUAGGGCUGUGCGAAGUUUCGCUGGCUGUUUCAUUUCAACUCAUUUCAAGCUUGAAACAGUGAAAUCAAAACAAAGCAAAAGGCUUUGAAACAGCUUUGAAAUGAAACAAGGGCAGUCAAAAUGUUUUGAAAUGUUUCGAGUUUUGAAGCUAGGCUUGCUUGCAGCUAAAGAGAAACUAAGGAGAGGGAGGAGGAAGAGUGGGGAAGGACUGCUCUCAUUGACUAUGUAGCUGGCCAGUGACUGUGAUCCUUCCCUGAGGUCACUUCCAAUCUCAGUGCUCUGGGGAAGGGAUGGAAAAACAGGAUAAAAAGGAUUGUUUGAGCUGAGCUUUCUCUGUGCCUUCACACUUACAAGUGGCACAAGUUUUGCUUUGAACAGUUUGAGGUGCAGUUUCCCAGAAACCCCUACACCCAUCUCCUUGAAACUUGACAGGUUUCAUGGCCUCAGCAGGGGCUACCAUCCCUGCAGUUUUCACCUUGCUGCACCUUAACACACACACAGUCACCCAUCAUGAGUUUUGUUUGUCAGCAGCCUGAGGUGCAGUUUCCCAGAAACCCUUGCACCUAUUUCCUUGAAUGCUGGAAAGCUUUAUGGCCUCAGAAGGGGCUACCAUCUCUGCAAGUUUCAAGUUUCAGCAGCCAUGCUAAGAACUCUCAGAGAAGCUGGACCUUCUGAAACUUACUCUCUCUCUUGAAACUCAUGGUCAAUGAACUGCUUGCCUCCAGAGGAAAUCUCCACUGGCCUCUGGAUGAUACUUGGGAGUAAGCUAUUUGAGAUCUAACUAGAUAUAUAGCUUGCAGUAGCACAGAUGUGUAAGCAAAGGCUACCAUGACACUGUUUGCUCUAACGGAUUUCUCUCAUAUAGCUCUACCCUAUUCCAAACCUACUCCUUGUAACCAAUAAAGCUCUCCUUUGUACCUAGCAUGGGAGACUUAUUGGGAGAGGGUCUAGAUAAUGCCUUGGGGUCCCCUUGGUUCAGCUAACUAAGGGAGACCACUAUUUGCGCUUCAGACUGAGGGAAUAACCCAAGUUCUUGCAGUGAGUCAAGUACCCUCAAGGGCUACUAGGCCUAUGUUUCCCAGAGGGCACAGGUCCAAGAUCAGUCCAGGCUCUUGGUGGUGGCGGCGUUACCCCCAGGCUUGCAGGUGUGCUCCAGGAAGGGGGUUGGCUGGACAUAAAGUGCCCCCAGGGAGGCACUCGGAGCCUGGAAGGUGGUCAGGUGCAGUGAGAUGGGUGGCUCGAUGCAGGAGCACCCCCUACCGGCCCGCCACACAGCAUAUACUGACUGCCAUCUAUAUGGUCCACCAGAGGGAACAAACCGUCAGAAAGAUUGCAGUAAUAUUGAUGGAUCUACUCUUAAAAGGUUGGAGGAGUCAACUUAAUGAAGUCCUCCAAGAAGAAGAAGGACAAGGGAACAGAGGGGGGAAUAGGCCUUUUGAAAGGUUCAUAGAGAAAACAAAGGGAGAAGUAGCACAAAGUGUUGGGCAAGAAAGGGAAAGAAAUCAACCUGGAGGUUGGGAGGGAGAUGUGAUUUAGCUGUGCAAUAGACCAGGGAGAACUGAGCUGGAAGGACUUUAUGAUGGAGAAGGCAAGCCAUGAGCUACAUGGAAGGCUUCUGGAUCACCCAACAGAAACUGGCACUAUCCAAAUAAAAUAGUGAGGAUAAUGUGGUUUUUCAUUCUUGCCUAGAACUGUGUGUUUCUCAUGCUGUUAGUUAAAGAGCAGUGGUAGUUUUAGGACCCUUGUGCAAAGCCUGGCUGUGCUCACUUACCCUGAGUCUCUGAAGAGUUUCAACUGUGACUCACAGAUAGAGAAUUACGAAAUUUAGCUGUCCUUUAAUUGGGUAUCUUAUCUCAAAGAGAGUUUGCAUUCUCACUCCUUUGGCCGACUCAGUUUCCCAAUCAAAAGAGGGAAGAAAAAUCCCAUCCAUUUUCCCAUCACUUUUUAACCUCGCCAGAGUACCUUUUUGAAAAAAAUGCAAGGAUGGGAAAUAAAAAGAAAGUUUGUUCAUUUUAGGGGAAAUGCGGCAUUGUUUUGUCAUAGACAAGCCAACAUUUCAAACAAAUUGAAAACUGUCUGUUCUGUUCCUCCCUGCCCCCUCCCCCCCCCCCAAAAAAAGAAGUGAAAAACAAAAAACUUCAACCAAGUCUAGGAAUACGCAGUAGUAAUAGGAAACAUACUGUAAACAAAGACAUAAGGUCUUUAUUAAACAAGGAUGCUGGUCUUUAAAUGCAGAGGCUAAAGCGUGAGAGUAAGAGUGUCUAAGGAGGUGCAGCCUUAUGGGAAGCUUCUUCAGGGCAAGGCCCAUAACUAGAAAGUCCCUUCUUAAAUGUACUUUUGGUACUCUUGCUAUUCCUACCUAGUAGCAAGAGUACAUCUUGGGAGUAAUGAGUGUUCUGUUCUCAUUAAUGCAGUACUGGUCUCUUUUUUUUUUUUUUACUCCCCUCCCCGCAACCUUUUUUUAAAACUUUUCAAUUAAACACAACACAAUACAUCUGUGCUGUGCAUGGUCAGUCCAGAGUCAGCAGUGCAGAGUAAACAGGUUUUAGAAUCCAGCUUACACACAGUAGUUAAGAGGGUUCUUUAUAUAUAAAUAUGAUAUUUAGUAUUGGAAAUAACCUUUGCCCAUAGCAGUGCUAGGACAGGGUGACAUCUUUUUUUUUUUAUUGUUUUACUGAGUUACGACAUGUUGUCAAAUAACAAUGGAGGGACUAAGACAGAAAGACAAGGCUAACAUCUGAGAAAAUUUGUUUUACACCAAAGUAUCAAGAAUAUUUAUAUAUGUAUAACAUAGACAUAAAUAAUGUUUUUUAUUAAAAUAUAAAAUCAUAUAUGUAUAAUGUGUAUGCUCUAUAUAUAUAUACUGGGUGAGAAAAGGAAAGGAGAGAUGGAAAUUGUAUCAUUCUGAAAACAGUAUAGAGAAAGGAAUGUGUUUUAAGAGAAAAAUUAAGCCUAUAUUUUGAAGGCAUUUAGACAUGCAACUUCCAUUGGUUGUCAGCGGGAAAUGCGGUACUAGAACUUUUCUGGAUUUGUCCCUUUGUUGAUGGAACUACUAGGAAUCCCAGGAUUAAGUAUUUGCUAAGCCUUCACAGUGUCAGGAUGCUAACUGUAAUUUUUGAAAUGCAACUAGGCUAAGGGGAAGAUUGGAUAUGGCAGUAAGUCCUUCCUUGUCUAUGUGACAAGGUAUUUAGGAGAAUUCAGAGAUUCAUUGGAAUUUGACAGCCACACUGUGGGCACUUCUGCUCUGGUCUCAAACGUGCAACCUCUGGGCUGUUAAUUGUGUGCUUUAGUAGGUACACCACCCCAUGGUAGUGGGGGAAGAGGAGAAUGAACGCGACAAUCAUAAUUCUUUUCUCAGUGAAAUCAAUCUAUGUUUCAUGUUUAGUAAAUGUCCCUCUGUUUAAAUUGAAUGGAUUUCCUGGAAUGUUUUACAUAUAAAUAAAGUUUGGCUGGCAUUUCCAUGUACCAGUAAGCAAAAUGUUUCAGAGACAGAAGCUGUUGGGAAUUUUUGGAUAGAUUGGGGAUAUUUUGCUGUAAAAUACUAAGCCCUAGAAAUUGAAGCUUUUUGUGGGAACAUGUUGAUUUCAGCAAAGCUUCCGGAACUGAGGAAACUUCCAAACAUAAAGAAACUUUUAUCAAUACUAAAGCUUCAUGGGGGAAAAAAACCCCUAGAAGAGAUAUUUGAAAGGAAAAGAUAUUCUCAGUAAGCAAUGGAGUAUGAAUCUGAGAAUUCAGUUGCAAUCUUUGCUCUGCCAUGUCUUCAUGAUCUUGGGUAAGUCUUCAAAAAAUUCCCCCCCUAAAUAUGAAUUCUUUUUGAUUUUUGGGUGACCAGUUAUGGGCACUGAGACAUGAACUGCUCAAGCCUUUCAGAUGGAGCCCAGAAUUUCUCAUGGUGCAUAAUUAGGAAUAGGGAGAGACAAAAAAAUAAUGGUCACAAUUUUUGAAAAUGUAGGCCUAACCCCCCCCCCCCCCCCCCAACACACACCUCUACCUGAAAGGACUUACAAAAGACAAUGAAGAUACAGUAGGAGACGCACCUAAAGCCCUCCAGACAAGGGUGAUAAGAAUGAAGCACUCCCCUGGUCUAAUUUACAUCGCAGAUGGAACCAGAUGGCAACUCAUUUACAUGGGAGAUGGGACAGAAAAGCACCUUCAUUAGCGUUCAGGAUGGAGAACAGAGAUUCCAAGGUAAAGACCACACUGAACUUUGGGACCAGAGAAGCAAAGGGGCACUGCAUGAUGGGGGAUCUCUUCUCCAAAUGCUAAUCAACCCACAGCUGCACACACCCAGCUCAGCAUUUAUCAGACCAAUUCUAGUAAUGACUCCUUUAUUGGUAUCCAAAACACUGAAUCUGCCUGUCUGUAUUGUGAGCUCCCUCAGAGUAAUGCCACCCAUAGCCAGGAGUGAUCAGUUCCUAUUAUCCAGCAUAUGAGCCAUUAUUUACCCAUAAACAAACCUAGUGUUCUCCCUUGAGCCAUUGUUAGUUCUCUACAAAAACACCUACCCAAGCUCAAGUUUCUGUCCCGGUGCUUGGAUCCAAAAGCUGCACCAGUUCCACUCCUUUUCUGCCUGGAAUCCCUCCACUGACUGUGCUGAGGACUCUGCCUGUCUGCAAGCUCCAACAAACACCUGGGAACCCUGACUGGUUCAAGCUUUGCUGAGUGGUGAGACCCCAACUCUUUCUCUGUCUCUAUGACUCCAGGAACCUGACUUGCUUUCUUACUCCAGGCACAGCUUUCUAAACCUGAAUUUUUCUGAUCAAACUUGAGUUAAACUUCCCCAAAUACCUAAUUGAAACGAUGUAAUAUUGUAACUUUUAUUUGUCUCUCUUGUAUGGCUAUUACUACUGGUAUCAUUGUAAGUUUAUAUACCUGGCAAUAAAUAACUUUUAUGGUCAA